GUGUGGAUGAUCUUGCCUGGUGGUGAGUGCAGGCUUCAAACCUGUAGGGGAUUAGCGUCCCAGUCGUUCGAUUCGACCUUUCGCACG
rnacentral:tRNA from 1 species